GACGAACCGUACGAACGUUAUUCGGAAUCACUGGGCUUAAAGGGUGCGUAGGCGGCGCGACAAGUUGGGUGUGAAAUCCCUCGGCUCAACCGAGGAACUGCGCCCAAAACUGUCGUGCUCGAGGGAGACAGAGGUGAGCGGAACUUAGGGUGGAGCGGUGAAAUGCGCAGAUAUCAGGAGGAACACCGGUGGCGAAGGCGGGUCUCUGGGCCGAUAUUGACGCUGAGGAGCGAAAGCGUGGGGAGCAAACAGG
rnacentral:rRNA from 1 species